GGCGAACGGGUGAGUAAUACAUCGGAACGUACCCAGAAGUGGGGGAUAACUAGUCGAAAGAUUAGCUAACACCGCAUAUUCUCUGAGGAGGAAAGUGGGGGACCUUCGGGCCUCACGCUUUUGGAGCGGCCGAUGUCGGAUUAGCCAGUUGGUGGGGUAAAGGCCUACCAAGGCGACGAUCCGUAGCUGGUCUGAGAGGAUGAUCAGCCACACUGGGACUGAGACACGGCCCAGACUCCUACGGGAGGCAGCAGUGGGGAAUUUUGGACAAUGGGGGCAACCCUGAUCCAGCCAUGCCGCGUGAGUGAAGAAGGCCUUCGGGUUGUAAAGCUCUUUCGGCGGGGACGAAACGGUUGCGGUGAAUAAUCGCGACUACUGACGGUACCCGCAGAAGAAGCACCGGCUAACUACGUGCCAGCAGCCGCGGUAAUACGUAGGGUGCGAGCGUUAAUCGGAAUUACUGGGCGUAAAGCGUGCGCA
rnacentral:rRNA from 1 species